AUUGAACGCUGGCGGAAUGCUUUACACAUGCAAGUCGAACGGCAGCACGGACUUCGGUCUGGUGGCGAGUGGCGAACGGGUGAGUAAUGUAUCGGAACGUGCCCAGUCGUGGGGGAUAACGUAGUGAAAAUUACGCUAAUACCGCAUACGAUCUAUGGAUGAAAGCGGGGGAUCGCAAGACCUCGCGCGAUUGGAGCGGCCGAUAUCAGAUUAGGUAGUUGGUGGGGAAAAGGCCCACCAAGCCAACGAUCUGUAGCUGGUCUGAGAGGACGAGCAGCCACACUGGAAAUGAGACACGGUCCAGACUCCUACGGGAGGCAGCAGUGGGGAAUUUUGGACAAUGGGCGAAAGCCUGAUCCAGCCAUUCCGCGUGCAGGAUGAAGGCCCUCGGGUUGUAAACUGCUUUUGUACAGAACGAAAAGGUUUCUACUAAUACUAGGAGCUCAUGACGGUACUGUAAGAAUAAGCACCGGCUAACUACGUGCCAGCCGCCGCAGUAA
rnacentral:rRNA from 1 species